AUUACCGGGGCGGUGCGAUCGCUCCACCGGAGUUCCCCGGCGGCCCGCGGAGCCCGAGCGCCCGCCCCCGCGCCCCCACCUGACGGGCCCCGCGGGCUGCGCGCGCUUCCUGUGGUACCGGAGCGCGCACCGCGGGGUCCCGCACGGCUUUACCCGAAUCUGGGUUUUUUUACCCCUCUCCUCUGCGCAGCCGGGGUGCGGGGGGGGGCGGCGCUGUUUGCUCGCUCCCCAGGCAGAGGCCGGUCUUGUUUGACAUCGGAUGUUUGGUCCCGCUUACUGCCGAGCCUGGCUCGGAGCCAUCGCACUUAGGGCGAGCAACUACGGUAAGGAAAUCACUAAUGCUGAGUAGCCGAACUGGCUGCUACCAAUGACCAAACCCAACAACAUACCCGCACUUAAGUUAAACCCACACAGUGGUCAGUAGGUAACCCAGGUUAAGGAAAGCAAAGAGGAAGGAGGAGAGAAAAAUGUAUUUCGCAUUUCAUGUAUUUACCCAUUUUAUUGUCAAGAUGCUAUCCUGGCUAUAUACAGGUUUGUAUUUCUUGUUUAUAAAGAGGUAAUUUUAUUCCUUCUGAAUUUCAAAGAGAAACAUAAGCAAGCAUCAAAUCUGGACCUUCAGAGGUCUUGAACCUUUUCAAAACCUGUCAUUCUUCAAUAUUCAACACAUAAGGUGCCUCAUCCAGGUACUGAAAAUCUCCAAAGCAGUUCAGGACUGGAUUGUGUAAAUAUCUUCUGUUGAAAUUCAGUAAGCAACCUAGCAAUGCUGAGAACCCAAGCACAUUUCCUCAUCGAGAGCCAUUAGACUUCCUUCAGUUUGAAAACACUCACUGCACAGUCCCUCGUCAGUCAAGUACAGCGAACGCAACUUGAAGCUAAAUUCCACUCUCUGUGAUUGGAAAUAGCUGCAACUGGACUCAGAAGUAUUAUUUCAUUCUUUUUAGCUUCCAUACUUCUACAGGACAUUUGAAUGAGCUAACAAGACACUUGAAGAAAGUGCGUUAGUAUCAAACUGUGCAGCAAUCUUCUCACCAAUACCUUGGGUUUGGACUUCAGUCACAGGAGCAGGACUAAGUCCUCAAGCCAGUUAGCCACUGUGAAGAUCACAUUUAUUUUCUAUUAAGAUAAAUUUUAUUGUCUAACAUACUUUAAAGUAAUAGUUCUUUCAUUUUUAUCCUGCCCUAAAAGGUCUUUGUUCUUCAAUAUUUAACUGUUCUUUAUCCUAAAAUACACAUAAACACACACACGUGCACACACAAAGAGUAAAACUGAAGAGGUCCUUCUACUGUUGGUCAUGUUUUAUCCCUGCAAGACAAGAAUUUACUGCCUGCAGAUCCCAUUUUACUGCUGACAAAGCAUUCAGGACUCAUUUUGCUGUCUUGUUCCCUGCCCCCUCUGGAGAAAACUGUAUUUCCUUUCUGGGAUACACAUGUGGAUCUAUUGUACUGCAAGAACUGAAGACCAGUUACGAAAUGGUGAACAUUUUCUUGUUUCUUUCUAUACAACUGUUUUGGGCAGUUACUGUUAAAAGGUUAAGAUGAAAAAAAAAAAAAACAACCCUUCACAGAACAACGGCCACAAGAACUAUGGGGGGCAAAGUCUGAAGAGUAACUCCUGGAUAUGGCACUAACUGGCAAAUUCUCAUUUACUUAAAGUGAAAAAAGCUAUUCAGAACUACUUUUUCUAGCUUUGCUGUGCUUGCAAAGCAGCAAGAGCAUCUCAUUAUAGAAGGUACGGAGUAGAUACAGCCAGCAUGUUUACUUCCAAGAUCUGUGCAAAGGAAGAGCUAAUAAGGAAUGAACAUGCCAAUCAGACACUAUUUGUUUAGGUUUUCAUUCUCAUAAUCUCUCUUACAAAACCAAACCUAGCUAUUGUUAAUUUCAAUUUUCAUCAGUUUCUAGUACUUCUAUACCUUAGUGUUUUAUUUACAAACUAUAUGGAGUAUUGCUUAUUUGCUGCUGGAAUUUAAACAUUUUAAGAGUUCUUUAAAAAAAUAAAAGGUAAAAGCUUAAGCUUCAAAAUCUCAGUCUUUGUUCUGGCUUAGCU